rnacentral:rRNA from 1 species
GUGUCAGCCGCCGCGGUAAUAGCGGCAGCCCAAGUGAUGGCCGAUCUUAUUGGGCCUAUAGCGUCGGUAGCUGGCGACGCAAGUCCAUCGGGAUAUCCACCUGCCCAACAGGUGGGCGCCCGGUAGAAACUGCGUGGCUUGGGACCGGAAGGCGCGACGGGUACGUCCGGGGUAGGAGUGAAAUCCCGUAAUCUUGGACGGACCGCCGAUGGCGAAAGCACCUCGAGAGGACUGAUCCGACAGUGAGGGACGAAAGCUGGGGUCUCGAACCGGAUUAGAAACCCCCGUAGUCC